GCCCACCCCAUCGUCUCCCUCUUAUAGCUCAGCUGGAAGAGCGCAAGACUGUAAUUGUUUCAAGAAGAAAUUCUGAUAUCUUGAGGUCCGCGGUUCGAUCCCGCGUGAGAGGAU
rnacentral:tRNA from 1 species